GACGUAGGGCGCGAGCGUUGUCCGGAUUUAUUGGGCGUAAAGAGCUCGUAGGCGGCUUGUCGCGUCGAAUGUGAAAUCGUCGGGGCUCAACUCCGAGCUUGCAUUCGAUACGGGCAGGCUAGAGUUCGGUAGGGGAGACUGGAAUUCCUGGUGUAGCGGUGAAAUGCGCAGAUAUCAGGAGGAACACCGGUGGCGAAGGCGGGUCUCUGGGACGUUACUGACGCUGAGACGCGAAGGCCAGGGGAGCAAACGGG
rnacentral:rRNA from 1 species